rnacentral:rRNA from 1 species
GACGAACUUUGGCGGCGUGCUUAACACAUGCAAGUCGAACGGAAAGGCCCUGCUUUUGUGGGGUGCUCGAGUGGCGAACGGGUGAGUAACACGUGAGUAACCUGCCCUUGACUUUGGGAUAACUUCAGGAAACUGGGGCUAAUACCGGAUAGGAGCUCCUGCUGCAUGGUGGGGGUUGGAAAGUUUCGGCGGUUGGGGAUGGACUCGCGGCUUAUCAGCUUGUUGGUGGGGUAGUGGCUUACCAAGGCUUUGACGGGUAGCCGGCCUGAGAGGGCGACCGGCCACAUUGGGACUGAGAUACGGCCCAGACUCCUACGGGAGGCAGCAGUGGGGAAUAUUGCGCAAUGGGCGGAAGCCUGAUGCAGCAACGCCGCGUGCGGGAUGACGGCCUUCGGGUUGUAAACCGCUUUCGCCUGUGACGAAGCGUGAGUGACGGUAAUGGGUAAAGAAGCACCGGCUAACUACGUGCCAGCGGCCGCGGUGAUACGUAGGGUGCGAGCGUUGUCCGGAUUUAUUGGGCGUAAAGGGCUCGUAGGUGGUUGAUCGCGUCGGAAGUGUAAUCUUGGGGCUUAACCCUGAGCGUGCUUUCGAUACGGGUUGACUUGAGGAAGGUAGGGGAGAAUGGAAUUCCUGGUGGAGCGGUGGAAUGCGCAGAUAUCAGGAGGAACACCAGUGGCGAAGGCGGUUCUCUGGGCCUUUCCUGACGCUGAGGAGCGAAAGCGUGGGGAGCGAACAGGCUUAGAUACCCUGGUAGUCCACGCUGUAAACGGUGGGUACUAGGUGUGGGGUCCAUUCCACGGGUUCCGUGCCGUAGCUAACGCUUUAAGUACCCCGCCUGGGGAGUACGGCCGCAAGGCUAAAACUCAAAGGAAUUGACGGGGCCCCGCACAAGCGGCGGAGCAUGCGGAUUAAUUCGAUGCAACGCGUAGAACCUUACCUGGGUUUGACAUGGAUCGGGAGUGCUCAGAGAUGGGUGUGCCUCUUUUGGGGUCGGUUCACAGGUGGUGCAUGCCUGUCGUCAGCUCGUGUCGUGAGAUGUUGGGUUAAGUCCCGCAACGAGCGCAACCCUUGUUCACUGUUGCCAGCACGUUAUGGUGGGGACUCAGUGGAGACCGCCGGGGUCAACUCGGAGGAAGGUGGGGAUGACGUCAAGUCAUCAUGCCCCUUAUGUCCAGGGCUUCACGCAUGCUACAAUGGCUGGUACAGAGAGUGGCGAGCCUGUGAGGGUGAGCGAAUCUCGGAAAGCCGGUCUCAGUUCGGAUUGGGGUCUGCAACUCGACCUCAUGAAGUCGGAGUCGCUAGUAAUCGCAGAUCAGCAACGCUGCGGUGAAUACGUUCCCGGGGCU